UUUUCUGCUUGUUGGAGUUUUAGAUUUGGGGUUUGGUUGGAAAUGGUGGAGCCAAAAGUUGUAGAUCUCUUGAGCUUUGAAUGAUUGAUUUUGUUCUAUGAAUGUGAAAUUGAAAUUGCUUAUUCUGCAUUUUAACUUGGUUUUAAUAAUUCACACCGGAAAUUAGAUAGGUAUGGAUUGAAUUCUUUAGCUCCUUUAGUCAGUAAACCCUGACUGGAUUUAAUAGUUAGAGCAAACUGGUUGUAUUCUUUGAUUUUGGUUGAUUAAAGUUUUCUCUUGAAUGCAGAAUCAUGAUUGCUUACAGUUGUGGUACAAUAAUGAAACUUAAUUCUAUGCAUUUAACUGCGGCUAAUAGAUUGAGUCUUAUUCAGCUAUAGUGUAUUUGUAUUAAAGCUACAAUAUUUAGGCUCAAACUCACUGCAAUGGGGAGCUGUAGUUUGGAACUGCUUCUUUUCCUAGUUCUUGUUUGAUCUUGUGUUAGGAUUUCAUGUCCAACAUGAAUAUUCCCGUCAUAAAGGUUGGCCUAGACAUAAGUGGUUGUGAAUCACUGAUAGAGGUAGCGUCACCGUCAGUUGAAAUCCCACCUGCUAUUUGUUAUACUUGAAGCUCCAUAGUGUGCCAGAACUAAUAACAUUUCAACAUUUUUCAGGUUCGGGUAUGAGCCUAUUUUGAGGCUGCUGCAGGCUAUCUUCAUCUGCUAUUUACUCAUCAAUCUGUACGUCUUCUAGGCAUUUUCGAUAUACUUGGAGACAGUUGCAAUUAUUCCACAAUUAGUUUUGCUCCAACGAAGUGGACAUGUGGACAAUUUGACAUAGUAGUAUGUUUUCUUUCCUCAUUGUCAUGUGCUAUAAAAUUGAAUAACUCAUUGCUGUCUAUUCUUUGAAGUUCAAGUGAAAUAUAGUUUUCUCUUAAAAUUUUUCUUUCUUUACCAUCAUUAUUCACUGUCCAAUUUACCAGAUAUGUCCCAUGUUUCACUUGUCACAUGUUAUGGAAUUACAAUAUAUUGGGCCAAUUUCUGAUCUCAUUUUGUUUUGCAAUCAUAAUUCAGAAGUCAUUAUUUGAAAUACUGAGUUGUAAGUUGUAACAGCCAACUUCAUUGUAUCUCAACAUCUUCAGUAGGUUUUCAUCCAAUGAACAACUGCCUAGUGCCUUAAGGAACCUUGCCCCACCAUAUAGCUUGGUAAUAUUUAGUCUUAAACCAAGAUGGACAGCUUAGAAAUGUCGAUCUGCAUUGGAUGUAUGCCUAGUUUUUGAUGGAGUCUGAGAAAUAUGCUCAAACAAGGUAAGAUCAGUUUUCAUUCCUCGAGUUGUUUAGUCUUUGGUUCUUGUUAGCUAUGAAAGCUUUACCACUGAUGGGCCUCGCUGCUAUUGCUGGAAAUUGUAGGUUAGAUCAGUUUCCAUUCCUUGUUUGUUGCUAUUUCGAUAGUUUGUGGAAUGUGAUUUGCACUUGUUAUGCUUUUCUUAAUCUAAAUUCAUGCCGAAUAGUUUGAAAGACCAUUGUUCCUUCAAAAAGAUGAACGGUAGGUACUCGUGCCAGCAAAGGUUAAUUGUGUAUGUUGAUAUGUAUAGCUUGUAUGUGUCUGAUGUUGUCCGAUGUUGUGAUUGAAAAUAAGUUAUUUUGCAGUUACGCUGUUCACAAUCAUGAUGCUAGUAAUUUUUGGACUAACAAGCGUUUACUAUAGAAUCAUGAUUUUGGCAUAACAUGCCUGGGAAAGGUGAAUAUAAACUAUGAGAAUGAUCUGGAUACGAUGAGCAACAUGCAAGCACCAGGUCUGGCAUGUGUGCCCCGCGCUGAACUAUUGACCUAUAUGCAGCUGGAACUACAGAAAGAGAGCCAAAAGCUCCUACACAAUCUUCCAAAGCUAGACUCCAAUGAGGCCAUGAGAGCAGCAAAGCUUGCAAAGCUAGACUCCUUAAGUAAAUUUGUGGAUGUAUAUUGCUAGGAAAGUAGUAUUAGAUGUACUCCUUUUGUGGAUGAAAGGUUGCCUUUGCACAAUCUAUUUUGGUGCAUGUGGAUUAUAUAUAACAAUUUCUUCUAUAUAUUGAUCAGUUACUGUUAAUUU